rnacentral:rRNA from 1 species
GACGUAGGGGGCGAGCGUUGUCCGGAUUUAUUGGGCGUAAAGCGCGCGUAGGCGGCCCGGCAAGUCGGAUGUGAAAUCCCGGGGCUCAACCCCGGGCCUGCAUCCGAGACUCCCGGGCUGGAGGCAGGUAGGGGAGAUCGGAAUUCCUGGUGUAGCGGUGAAAUGCGCAGAUAUCAGGAGGAACACCGGUGGCGAAGGCGGAUCUCUGGGCCUGUCCUGACGCUGAGGCGCGAAAGCGAGGGGAGCGAACAGG